rnacentral:lncRNA from 1 species
GUUGUAACUUGUAAGGUGUAAUUUCUAACUUGUCCCUUCCCAGUAUUCCAAUCCAUAUAUCGCAAUGGGUUAAUUAUAUGCAAGAUUAGAGCUGAAUCAACCAGUUCUUGACUUGUCUAAUUAGUUUCUAACUUUAUGGUCUUUACACACCGGAGUAGCUCUCAUUUUUGGGAUCGAAGCUGGUCCAAUUUUGACAGCUCUGAGAUUUGAGAGCGAUAGAAGUUAAAGAAGUCCUUCCGUGAAUUGGGGUAGCAUUAUGGCAUGCGCAAGUUGCUUUCUUGCCCCCACACCCUUGAAUCCAAUAUGUGAUUCCGCUCUAAAGUCUUCAUAAUUACAUCCCUUCCUUCAAUAAACUAUCUAAGAAAGAAAGAUUCCUUGAACAGUCUAAAGUUUAAAUCCAAAGUGGACUGGAGGGAAGAGAUGGACAAUGGAAGGGAAAACAAUACAGAAAAUGGAUUGAGAUUGGAAGAUGAAGCUUCAAAGAAAUUGGAAGAUAAAGAAGAAUUGUCAGUGGAGAGGAUAUUUGAGAAUAAGGAGGUGCCCUCAUGGAGAAAACAGUUAACAAUGAGAGCUUUUACAGUGAGUUUCCUGUUGUCAGUGAUGUUCUGCUUCAUAGUAAUGAAGCUCAAUCUCACUACUGGAAUUAUACCAUCUCUGAAUGUCUCGGCCGGUCUAUUGGGAUUCUUCUUCGUCAAGACUUGGACUAAACUACUCGAGAAAUCUGGCAUGCUGAAGCAGCCUUUCACCCGUCAAGAAAAUACUGUCAUUCAAACCUGCGUAGUUGCCUCCUCUGGCAUCGCCUUUAGCGGUCAGUAAAUGUGCUCCUAAUCCUUCUUCCCCCCCCCCCCCCCCCCCCCCCNNNNNNNNNNNNNNNNNNNNNNNNNNNNNNNNNNNNNNNNNNNNNNNNNNNNNNNNNNNNNNNNNNCCCUCUCUCUCUCUCUCUCACACACACACACUCUUUCCAUAAAGAAAAUUCAACCUGAUCUUGUACAGGAGGCUUUGGAGGUUAUCUAUUUGGAAUGAGCGAACGGGUUGCCAAACAAUCAGAAGAAGCCAAAUAUGGAUUUGACUACAAGAACCCAGCAAUAGGCUGGAUGAUAAGCUUUCUUUUUGUGGUUAGCUUUCUGGGACUUUUUUCCGUGUUGCCUCUCCGAAAGGUAUUCCUUAUCCUUUGCUAAGACAAAUUUGAUUUUAGGGAAAGAAGAAAGCUACUGAACGAGCCAUAUUAAGCAAAAUCUUAUGAUUAAUCUCCACAGAAAAUUAACAAAUAAUAUCUAAUGGAUCGUAAUGUUCCACACUUAUUUAUGUAGACAAUGAUAAUAGACUUCAAGUUGACAUAUCCUAGUGGUACUGCUACUGCACUUCUAAUUAACAGCUUCCACACUCCUCAAGGAGCCAAACUAGCAAAGUAAGUCGUCAUUCCUGUUAUAACUAACAUCUCAUUUAUAAGUUAAUUUAGAUAUUAAAAACAAAAAGCGAGCGAAAGAUAUUAGAAUAAGAAGGAUUUGUACAUUUUUAUUUAGGAAACAAGUCAGAGUAUUGGGCAAGUUUUUCUCCUUCAGCUUCUUAUGGGGUUUCUUCCAAUGGUUCUUCUCGGCUGGUGAUGGCUGUGGAUUUUCGAAUUUCCCAACAUUUGGAUUAAAAGCAUAUGAAUACAAGUAAGCAUAAAAUGUUCUUUUUCUUAUUUAGCGAAGUAAAACGUCUUUGCUUCUUUUUGCUUGACUCACCACACAAUCGUUGGACCAAGCAUAUUCCUAUUGAAGAUUGGUCCGGGAUUUUUAACUGCCUUACAAGUAAGACUCGAUUUUUCUAAUCCCACAAUAGACUUGAACAGAGGCCAGAUAUAGUGAAAUUCUGCCCGCUAGCGUUAAGGUUAACAAUCAUGAGCUGAAUUCAUUUUUUCUGUGGCUUAAACUUUUGUUUUGGAACUACAGGUUUUUCUUUGAUUUCUCAGCAACUUAUGUUGGGGUAGGGAUGAUCUGUCCUCACAUCAUAAAUGUUUCCAUUCUUGUUGGAGGGAUUCUGUCGUGGGGUAUCUUGUGGCCUCUAAUUGAAACUAGAAAGGGGGAUUGGUACUCUGCUGAUCUCGACUCACAUAGUUUGCAAGGGCUUCAAGGUUACAAGGUGAAUUCCUAUUACACCAUAGUUUCACCCAAAACUGCUAUAUUUAAAUUUGCUUUUUCAAUAAUAUAUCGUUCACUAAAACAAAAUGUGAACUAAAACCAUAACAGGUAUUCAUUGGCAUUGCCAUGAUACUCGGUGAUGGCCUAUACAACUUUUUCAAGGUUGUCAGCCGAACUCUAACCGGCUUGAUUAAAAAAAUUCAACAAAGAAAUGCAAAUAUGCAAAUCCCAGUGGUAGAACAUUCCUCUCCUGCCAAGAAAUCACUAUCUUAUGAUGACCAACGCCGCACCCAACUAUUUCUUGAAGAUCAAAUCCCAACGUGGUUUGCAAUUGGAGGCUAUUUCACCCUUGCUGCAGUCUCUACAGCAAUCCUUCCUCACAUCUUCCACCAACUCAAGUGGUACUAUGUAAUUGUUAUCUAUGUCUUUGCACCAAGCUUGGCCUUCUGUAACGCAUUUGGGUGUGGACUCACUGAUUGGUCACUCGCAUCUACCUACGGGAAGCUUGCCAUCUUUACAAUUGGGGCAUGGGCAGGGGCCUCACAUGGUGGAAUCCUUGCUGGUUUAGCAGCAUGUGGAGUGAUGUUGAAUAUAGUUUCCACUGCCUCUGAUAUCAUGCAGGAUUUUAAGACAGGUUACUUAACCUUGGCUUCACCCCGUUCAAUGUUUGUGAGCCAAGUGAUUGGCACUGCUAUGGGAUGUGUGAUUUCUCCUUGUGUCUUUUGGGUUUUCUACAAAGCUUUUCCUGAUCUUGGGCUUCCUACAAGUGAAUAUCCCGCUCCCUUUGCUACUGUCUACUAUAGCAUGGCUAAACUUGGGGUUGAAGGCUUCUCAGCUCUACCAAAGGAAUGCCUCAAGCUAUGUUACGGAUUCUUUGCUGCAUCCAUUUUCAUCAACUUAAUAAGAGAUGCUCUGGGAAAGAAACGUUCGUGGUUUAUACCACUUCCAAUGGCAAUGGCGAUACCAUUUUAUUUGGGUUCCUAUUUUGCCAUUGAUAUGUGUGCUGGUAGCCUCAUACUUUUUGUGUGGCAGAAGAUAAACAGAGCCAAGGCAGAUGCCUUUGGUCCUGCAGUAGCUUCUGGUUUGAUUUGUGGAGAUGGCAUCUGGACUUUGCCUAGCUCUAUACUAGCUCUAGUCGGGGUGAAACCUCCAAUCUGCAUGAAAUUCCUGUCGAGGGCUACAAACACUAAGGUAGAUAAGUACUUGGGAUCCUAGAUAUGCUGGGGGUAAAAAUUAAUUUGUAUCCGAACAAGUAUUGCCUUCAUAAACCAAAAAGGAUUAUCCUGUAUGGAUAAAUAAGAGAUUAAAUUUAUGCACUCCAUUCCUAUGUUUCAAGUCUUCUACAAUAUACCCUAUAAAAAGGAUUUCAAGUUAUCUGAUGUAGAUUUUAAAAAUACACCACAACUUUUAGAGUAGCUUUAUACAAUUUUUAGAUACUAUUACUGCUUACCAAAGGAAGAUGAAGAUAGCUUGUAGACAGCCA